rnacentral:sRNA from 1 species
GCCAGCGGUGCUGUGUGCGCCUGCGCGGGGCGCGGAGACAGGGCGUGUUCGCUGUUCAGUGCCGGUGUUGCAGGGAGUGAGGGCACCGGGAGUGCGUCCUGCCGAAGCCUGUGGUUGCACGCCCACCCUCUUAGGGACUACCUUCCGUGUUACCUUAUCCCAUAUCACACAACUGGUCCUCAGCCAUAACAAGCUAACAACGGUACCACCAAACAUCGCAGAACUGAAGAAUUUGGAAGUGCUCAACUUUUUUAAUAACCAGAUCGAGGAGCUGCCCACACAGAUCAGUAGCCUUCAAAAACUCAAACACCUGAACCUUGGCAUGAACAGGCUGAACACUUUGCCACGAGGCUUCGGCUCCCUGCCAGCUCUUGAGGUUCUGGACUUAACUUACAACAACUUGAGUGAAAAUUCUCUUCCUGGAAACUUCUUCUACCUGACCACCCUGCGUGCACUCUAUCUAAGUGACAACGAUUUUGAAAUCCUGCCGCCAGAUAUUGGGAAGCUCACAAAGUUGCAGAUACUCAGCCUUAGGGAUAAUGACCUGAUCUCGCUGCCUAAGGAAAUCGGGGAGCUUACCCAGCUGAAAGAGCUCCACAUUCAGGGGAACCGCCUCACCGUUCUGCCCCCAGAACUAGGAAACUUGGAUUUAACUGGCCAGAAGCAGGUAUUCAAAGCAGAGAACAAUCCCUGGGUGACCCCCAUUGCAGACCAGUUCCAGCUUGGCGUGUCCCAUGUUUUUGAGUAUAUCCGUUCUGAGACAUACAAAUACCUCUACGGCAGACACAUGCAGGCCAACCCAGAACCACCGAAGAAGAAUAAUGACAAAUCGAAAAAGAUCAGCCGGAAACCCCUGGCAGCCAAGAACAGAUAAGGAAGGGAUUGGCAUCAGCUGGCUUUCCAGCACCUUCUCUCUCCAACACUUCAUUCUCUCUUGCUCCGUCUCUCAAAUAAA